rnacentral:tRNA from 1 species
GCAGUCGUGGCGAGUGGUUAAGGCGAUGGACUCAAAAUCUAUUGGGUCUCCCCGCGCAGGUUCGAAUCCUGCCGGCUGCG